rnacentral:rRNA from 1 species
UCGAAUGGUAACAGGAAACAGCUUGCUGUUUCGCUGACGAGUGGCGGACGGGUGAGUAAUGUCUGGGAAACUGCCUGAUGGAGGGGGAUAACUACUGGAAACGGUAGCUAAUACCGCAUAACGUCGCAAGACCAAAGAGGGGGACCUUCGGGCCUCUUGCCAUCAGAUGUGCCCAGAUGGGAUUAGCUAGUAGGUGGGGUAACGGCUCACCUAGGCGACGAUCCCUAGCUGGUCUGAGAGGAUGACCAGCCACACUGGAACUGAGACACGGUCCAGACUCCUACGGGAGGCAGCAGUGGGGAAUAUUGCACAAUGGGCGCAAGCCUGAUGCAGCCAUGCCGCGUGUAUGAAGAAGGCCUUCGGGUUGUAAAGUACUUUCAGCGGGGAGGAAGGGAGUAAAGUUAAUACCUUUGCUCAUUGACGUUACCCGCAGAAGAAGCACCGGCUAACUCCGUGCCAGCAGCCGCGGUAAUACGGAGGGUGCAAGCGUUAAUCGGAAUUACUGGGCGUAAAGCGCACGCAGGCGGUUUGUUAAGUCAGAUGUGAAAUCCCCGGGCUCAACCUGGGAACUGCAUCUGAUACUGGCAAGCUUGAGUCUCGUAGAGGGGGGUAGAAUUCCAGGUGUAGCGGUGAAAUGCGUAGAGAUCUG